rnacentral:tRNA from 1 species
UGAGGUGUAGCUCAGAGGUAGAGCAUGUGCACAGCAUUCACAAGGUUCUGGGUUCCAUUCUCGGUACCACAA